GACGAACGCUGGCGGCGUGCUUAACACAUGCAAGUCGAACGAAGAGCGAUGGAAGCUUGCUUCUAUCAAUCUUAGUGGCGAACGGGUGAGUAACGCGUAAUCAACCUGCCCUUCAGAGGGGGACAACAGUUGGAAACGACUGCUAAUACCGCAUACGAUCUAAUCUCGGCAUCGAGGAUAGAUGAAAGGUGGCCUCUACAUGUAAGCUAUCACUGAAGGAGGGGAUUGCGUCUGAUUAGCUAGUUGGAGGGGUAACGGCCCACCAAGGCGAUGAUCAGUAGCCGGUCUGAGAGGAUGAACGGCCACAUUGGGACUGAGACACGGCCCAGACUCCUACGGGAGGCAGCAGUGGGGAAUCUUCCGCAAUGGACGAAAGUCUGACGGAGCAACGCCGCGUGAGUGAUGACGGCCUUCGGGUUGUAAAGCUCUGUUAAUCGGGACGAAAGGCCUUCUUGCGAAUAU
rnacentral:rRNA from 1 species